CAGUAGCCGCGGUAACACGUAGGUGGCAAGCGUUGUCCGGAAUUAUUGGGCGUAAAGCGGGCGCAGACGGUUACUUAAGCAGGAUGUGAAAUCCCCGGGCUCAACCUGGGAAUUGCGUUCUGAACUGGGUGGCUAGAGUGUGUCAGAGGGGGGUAGAAUUCCACGUGUAGCAGUGAAAUGCGUAGAGAUGUGGAGGAAUACCGAUGGCGAAGGCAAUCCCCUGGGCCUGCACUGACGCUCAUGCACGAAAGCGUGGGGAGCAAACAGGAUUAGAUACCCCAGUAGUCCCUGUCUCUUAUAC
rnacentral:rRNA from 1 species